CGAGGGUGAUGACGGUUAUCUGCACCGAGGGUGAUGACGGUUACCUGUACCGAGGGUGAUAACAGUUACCUGUACCGAGGGUGAUGACUGUUACCUGUACCGAGGGUGAUAAAAUUUACCUGUACCCGAGGGUGAUGGCAGUUACCUGUACCGAGGGUGAUGACGGUUACAUGUACCGAGGGUGAUGACGGUUAUCUGUACCGAGGGUGAUGACGGUUAUCUGUACUGAGGGUGAUGACAGUUACCUGUACCGAGCGUGAUGACGGUUACCUGCACCGAGGUGAUGACAGUUAUCUGUACCGAGAGUAAUAACAGCAACCUGUACCGAGGGUGAUGACGGUUAUCUGUACCGAGGGUGAUGAGGGUUACCUGUACCGAGGAUGAUGACAGUUACCUGUACCGAGAGUGAUAACAGUUACCUGUACCGAGGGUGAUGACCCUGAAACCUCGUAUUGUGACGUACGUCAACACAAAGACAUGACGUCACACUUCGCCUCACCCUGCCUUUUAUCAACAUUGAACGAUGCACUGUAUUUUGGAGAUGUGUGGCUGUAGAGAAGAAGAUUUUUGAAAAUUGGUCAUUUUUUGGCAGUUUUUGUCCCAUCCCAAAGGCCCUAGAGUCUUGAAUUUUACAAUUGAUAUCCCCCUUGUCCCAAGGAUGCUUCAUACCUGAUUGAAAAAGAUUGGAAUGGUAGUAAUCAAGAAGUUAAAAAUGUUCAAUUGUUAACGCACGAUGGACACAGACCAAUUGCAAGAACUCAGGUGACUUAAAAAUGUUGGAGGUUGGGAUGACCCCGGGGCACUUGCCUAUAAGAAUACUCAAUGCAUCUUGACAUAUUGGUAACUAUUGUGGCUUCUUUGCUAGUUACACAAGUAUGGCGGAGAAAAUAUUUAAAGGCAAACACA